rnacentral:rRNA from 1 species
UACGGAGGGGGCUAGCGUUGUUCGGAAUUACUGGGCGUAAAGCGCACGUAGGCGGCUUUGUAAGUUAGAGGUGAAAGCCUGGAGCUCAACUCCAGAAUUGCCUUUAAGACUGCAUCGCUUGAAUCAUGGAGAGGCGGGUGGAAUUCCGAGUGUAGAGGUGAAAUUCGUAAGAUAUCAGGAGGAACACCAAUGGCGAAGGCAGCACUCUGGGACGUGACUGACGCUGAGACGCGAAAGCGUGGGGAGCAAACAGG